rnacentral:rRNA from 1 species
GAGUCCCGCUGAACUUAAGCAUAUCAAUAAGCGGAGGAAAAGAAACCACAGGGAUUGCCCUAGUAACGGCGAGUGAAGCGGCAACAGCUCAAAUUUGAAAUCUGGCCUCACGGUCCGAAUUGUAAUUUGUAGAGGAUGUUUCUGGCGACGUGUCUUCCGAGUUCCCUGGAACGGGACGCCAUAGAGGGUGAGAGCCCCGUCCGGUCGUACACCUAGCCUCUGUGAAACUCCUUCGACGAGUCGAGUAGUUUGGGAAUGCUGCUCUAAAUGGGAGGUAUACGUCUUCUAAAGCUAAAUACCGGCCAGAGACCGAUAGCGCACAAGUAGAGUGAUCGAAAGAUGAAAAGCACUUUGAAAAGAGGGUUAAAUAGUACGUGAAAUUGCUGAAAGGGAAGCGCUUAUGACCAGACUUGGGCUCGGUGAAUCAUCCGGCGUUCUCGCCGGUGCACUUUGCCGUCCCAGGCCAGCAUCAGUUCGCGCCGGGGGAUAAAGGUUUCGGGAAUGUAGCUCCCUCGGGAGUGUUAUAGCCCGUUGCGUAAUACCCUGGCGUGGACUGAGGUCCGCGCUCUGCAAGGAUGCUGGCGUAAUGGUCAUCAGUGACCCGUCUUGAAACACGGACCAAGGAGUCGUCUUCGUAUGCGAGUGUUCGGGUGUCAAACCCCUACGCGUAAUGAAAGUGAACGUAGGAGAGAGCUUCGGCGCAUCUCCGACCGAUCCUGAUGUUCUCGGAUGGAUUUGAGUAAGAGCAUACGGGGCCGGACCCGAAAGAAGGUGAACUAUGCCUGUAUAGGGUGAAGCCAGAGGAAACUCUGGUGGAGGCUCGCAGCGGUUCUGACGUGCAAAUCGAUCGUCAAAUAUGGGCAUGGGGGCGAAAGACUAAUCGAACCUUUCUUGGGU